AAACUGCACCAAGGAGAUGGCGCCAAACCAUUCCUGAGAAAUCCACCCCCAUGAUCCAGUCAGCUCUCACCAGGCCCACCUCCAGCACUGGGAAUUACAAUUCAGCAUGACAUUUGGGUAGGGACACACACCCAAAUCCUGUCACAAACAAACAAGCGAUAAGAACACAGCAAACCCCAUUUUCUCUCUCAAGGAAAUAACCAUUUACAAUGUAAAGUAAGUGGCAAAGCUGACUAGCUGAAAGAGUUAAAUGAAAAAAAUAAGAAGGGUUAGGAGGUGCAGGGGAAGCCAGUUAAACUAGUUUUUUUUUUUUUUUUAAAGUGAUUUUUUUCUCUCUCUCCUUUUUUUUUUUUUGCAAGAGGCCUAGGUUUGCAGUCUGCAGAGCUAUCUACAGGGCUGGUCCGAGACCCCUGAAAAGAAACCGGAGAAGCCUGCUGACAAAAGACUGGAAUUCUGGGCUCAGCCGCCUCCAGGACCCAGGGGCCCAUUGGGCAAUCCAUCACGGAGCACACCUGGCCUGCCCAAAGGACACAGCAGGCAGUGGGAGUCCAGAAAUGAACCAGACCCAUCCCUGGCCAUGGAGGAACACCCAACAUAACUGGAGAGACAAAGGUGGAGAAGGAGAGAUGACUGGGUAAGAGAAAUUUAACAAUAGGAUAUGGAGUGAGUCACUUUCGCAUUCCAUCCUAGUUGCAGAAUCCAUCAAUAAACAUUAAUUCUAAUUGCUAUCUAUUGCAUGACCUAGAGCUAGGGUCAGCUGACAGCCCUCUAUCACAUACCUCUUCUGUAGCAGUGGCAGACAUUACUAAUUGAUCUGGGCACUCUUUUCACUUGAGCCAGGAGAAACCAUCUCCAGUCCAUUGGAGCUGGCAUAGAAGAGUCAGUCUCGGUGUUAGUUAGAGUCCGCUCAUUGGGAAGGGCCUUGAGUUAGAAGUUGGGAGACAGGCCAACUCUCUGCGUAACACGGGCAAAGCUCUGUUAAAUGAAAAGAUGAUAGCUGAUCUUUAAUGCCCUUUCCAGCUCUGACAUGUCAGCCACAAGCAGCUUGUCAAGGACAUCUUUAAGUUGGCACGCCUUGGUUGAGGACCUACUGUGUGUGGGGACAUGAGAAGUACAAGACACUGCCAUUAAGGAAGAGAUGGGCAUGUCUUUGACCAAUCCUAAUAGCAGCCAGAGUGUGAAAAAAAAUAAUAGAGGUUGGGUAAAGAACUCUUGGAGGUCAGGGAAGGAAAAUACCAGUUA
rnacentral:lncRNA from 1 species